rnacentral:rRNA from 1 species
AGUGGCGGACGGGUGAGUAACGCGUGAGAAUCUGCCUUGGGGUCGGGGACAACCACGGGAAACUUCUGCUAAUCCCGGAUGAGCCUUAGGGUAAAAAAUUUAUUGCCUGGAGAUGAUCUCGCGUCUGAUUAGCUAGUUGGUAAGGUAAAAGCUUACCAAGGCAACGAUCAGUAGCUGGUCUGAGAGGAUGAGCAGCCACACUGGGACUGAGACACGGCCCAGACUCCUACGGGAGGCAGCAGUGGGGAAUUUUCCGCAAUGGGCGAAAGCCUGACGGAGCAAGACCGCGUGGGGGAGGAAGGCUCUAGGGUUGUAAACCCCUUUUCUUUGGGAAGAACAAAAUGACGGUACCAAAGGAAUCAGCCUCGGCUAACUCCGUGCCAGCAGCCGCGGUAAUACGGAGGAGGCAAGCGUUAUCCGGAAUGAUUGGGCGUAAAGCGUCCGCAGGUGGCAAUGUAAGUCUGCUGUCAAAACCCAGGGCUCAACUCUGGUCAGGCAGUGGAAACUACAUAGCUAGAGUUCGGUAGGGGCAAAGGGAAUUCCCGGUGUAGCGGUGAAAUGCGUAGAGAUCGGGAAGAACAUCGGUGGCGAAAGCGCUUUGCUAGACCGAAACUGACACUCAGGGACGAAAGCUAGGGGAGCGAAUGGGAUUAGAUACCCC